rnacentral:rRNA from 1 species
UCGAGAAUCUUCGGCAAUGGGCGAAAGCCUGACCGAGCGACGCCGCGUGCGGGAUGAAGGCCUUCGGGUUGUAAACCGCUGUCAGUGGGGAGGAAGGCUCUGUGAAGAGCAGGGUUUGACCUAUCCGCAGAGGAAGUACGGGCUAAGUUCGUGCCAGCAGCCGCGGUAACACGAACCGUACGAACGUUAUUCGGAAUCACUGGGCUUAAAGGGUGCGUAGGCGGUCUGGUAAGUUGGGUGUGAAAUCCCUCGGCUUAACCGAGGAAUUGCGCUCAAAACUGCCAGACUUGAGGAAGUCAGAGGUGAGUGGAACUUAGGGUGGAGCGGUGAAAUGCGUUGAUAUCCUAAGGAACACCAGUGGCGAAAGCGACUCACUGGGGCUUUUCUGACGCUGAGGCACGAAAGCUAGGGGAGCGAACG